ensembl:ncRNA lncRNA:CR45357 long non-coding RNA:CR45357
AGGCCAGGGAAAUAGAUGACCAGGCCAGCAAGGGAACCACGAUUCCAUGGUACAGACCAGGCCAAUGGAGAGCGCACUGCGUGUGCUUAGUAAAAAUUUAUGGGCCUAGUCUGGCAGAUGGAAAAGUUGAGGGGAAUACCAGUAGCGGCAUCAUUUGGCCAUUGUGAGCGGUCCUAUUUUUCACACCCUUCCUGGGGCUAGACUACAAGUAACUAUGAUGAAGCAUUGUACAGGGAAAAAUAUAUUUUGCAAGGAUUAU